ACGAACGCUGGCGGCGUGCUUAACACAUGCAAGUCGAACGGAAAGGCCCUGCUUUUGUGGGGUGCUCGAGUGGCGAACGGGUGAGUAACACGUGAGUAACCUGCCCUUGACUUUGGGAUAACUUCAGGAAACUGGGGCUAAUACCGGAUAGGAGCUCCUGCUGCAUGGUGGGGGUUGGAAAGUUUCGGCGGUUGGGGAUGGACUCGCGGCUUAUCAGCUUGUUGGUGGGGUAGUGGCUUACCAAGGCUUUGACGGGUAGCCGGCCUGAGAGGGUGACCGGCCACAUUGGGACUGAGAUACGGCCCAGACUCCUACGGGAGGCAGCAGUGGGGAAUAUUGCACAAUGGGCGGAAGCCUGAUGCAGCAACGCCGCGUGCGGGAUGACGGCCUUCGGGUUGUAAACCGCUUUCGCCUGUGACGAAGCGUGAGUGAGGGUAAUGGGUAAAGAAGCACCGGCUAACUACGUG
rnacentral:rRNA from 1 species